rnacentral:tRNA from 1 species
UCCCUGGUGGCUCAGACAGUAAAGCGUCUGCCUGCAGUGCAGGAGACCUGGGUUCAAUCCUGGGUUGGGAA